UGUGACCCAAAAACCAAAUCUUCCCCAUUAAUAAAGAAUUCUUUUUUUGGGGUGGUGGUGGUGUUUGAGUCACA